GCGCCCGUAGCUCAAUUGGAUAGAGCGUUGGAUUCCGGUUCCAAAGGCUGGGGGUUCGAUUCCCUUCGGGCGUACAA
rnacentral:tRNA from 1 species